rfam:Aedes albopictus isolate Foshan contig42420, whole genome shotgun sequence.
UGUUCUGUGGCAUAGUUGGUUAAGGCGCCGGACUAGCGAUACGGAGUCGUGGGCUCAAAUCCCACCAAAACAA